CGAAAUGCUAGACAAGUUUUUGUAUAACUUUUGAAAUGGAAUCGAACGAACUUCUCUGAGAAAGACGGUCUGGUGCUUCCGGUGAUUUAUAGUGUUGGGGCGAUGCACAAAAGGGGAAAGUUCUAGAGGGACAUGGGAGAGAUUGGAAGGCUCCAGGAGGUUCCGUCGUAUGAA